UUGAUUACAUUUAUCAAUUGGUGUGUAUUUGGUUUCUGGUGUUUCUGCAGCCAGCCUCAAGCGGGUUCUUGCUGAAUGGCAGUUUAUAACACUUCUGCAUAGGCUUCAUAUUUUGAGACCAGAGGUUGCCGCUUGGGGAGGACAUGCCUGAAAGAAAUCGCUGUGCCUACCAUCUCCACAUGAGAGUCUCCAAGAGCUCUCCAGAGGAAGGCUUCUGCUGCAGAGAAAAAGCUUGGUGCAGCUCAAGAAAAGCUGAAGUUGAGAAGCCAGCAGACUAGAAGACUGAGGGCAGAAAUUUCUUCUUUGAAAGAUGUGGUUGAAGUGCUUCAGAAGCUCUUCUCAUUUCUGCUGAAUGUUCCGCCCUGCUAAAUAGUCUGGACGAUUUUCCCAGAACGAUCUUUCAGAGAAUGCUGAAGAAGAAAGUCUGUGUUUCACUGCACUUCUACUCUACAAAGGCCUAUGACUAUGUUAGGGAGAAGUUUGUCUGGGCUUUGCCUCAUCCCCAAACCAUCAGGAAGUAGUACAGUAGCAUCUCUGCAGAUCCUGGAUUAACUGUUGCUUCUUUCACAGCUUUGAAAAGUUGUGUUGUUUAACAGAAAAAAGCAGGGACAGACACAGUUUGCUCAUUGAUGAUGGAUGAAAUGUACAUUCACAAGCAAACUGAGUUUGGAGGGGACCAGAUCCACAGCUAUGUUGACAUCGAGCUGCAUGGCAGGACAAGAGAAAACAAACAUCACCAGAGGGAGCCUGAUUAGGCUUCAUGCAGUUGUUGUAAGGGUUGUCUCCUUGACAUGUGAUGGACCCUCCCGGAACUUCACAACGCUGAAGGAGCUUGGUGCCAAUUUGGACCUCAUGGACACGAGAUCUUUCUUUUUCCACCCUGAGGAUCCCACUCAAAAAGUCCAUGUCCUCUUGGAUCAAUGUCAGAUGCUAAAGCUUCUUCAUAAGAUUUUUUCAACAGUCGAAGCUCUGUUGAGAGAAGAUGGCCAGCAGAUAAGGUGGCAGUACAUUGAGGAGCUUCACAAGCUUCAGGAGAAGGAAGGAUUGCGUCUUGGAAACAAGCUGAAAAUGGCCAACAUUCAGUGGCGCAAUCAAAAGGUCUUGCCCACAAUUGAUUGGAUGUUUGAUGUCAUUAACAGCCGCAACCCAUUUGGGAAAUUUUAUAAAGCCCCCAUUAAACCAACAACUAGAGAUCGUGCCAAGGUAAUUGAAGUAGAAACGGAGUCACUUCUUCUUGGGCUCAGAAUGAAAGGUAAAGAUCAUCAACUUUUACAAGUCCAUCCAACACAAAAGAAAACAUCAAUCUAUGGUUUCAUUGCUUGUGCCAGAAGUGUGAUGGGCAUUUAUGAAGAUCUGGUAGAGCAGUCUUCUGACCUACAAGCUCAGCAAGGACCACUUGGAGCUGCUCUUCUCUGCAAUCAGAGCACGUGGUGGUUUCAACAACAACCCCAAUGUGAGGCAGUUCAGAGGGGCAUACAAGCGCCUCCUUGUAAGACAAGAGGCACAGAUAACUUGUCUCCUUUGUGACAACACAGCUAUUAUUGAGUCAACACCUGCAACUGUGAACAUUGCACGCAGACUGGAUGUGGAGCCAGUUGAAGUUUUUGGGCCUGAGGAUGACAGUCUGUCUGACCUCUCAGAUAUUGACGGUCUAUCUGAGUACAAGGUAGAAGCUAUUUCUUACAUCAUAGGCUUUAUUGUCAAGAAGAUGAAACAGAAGAUUACCUGCAUGCCUUGCUCACAAGCACUAGCCUCAGAUGACUCAGUUCAUCAUUUCUGUCAUGAGUCGAUAUUUAGUUUUUUUGCUUGUGUCCAUGCCUUGGUUUUCCUGUUUAUUCUGUAUUAGUUAUCCUUUUGGUCCAUGUCCCUUUUUGCACUUUCUUGUGUUUCUCAGUCUUGUGUUAUGUUCCCUGUUUUUUGGUUCUGAUCGUCCAUGUGUGUUUCCCUCCUUUUUGAUUCCCCUCAUUAGUUUCACCUGUCUCCUAUGCUCAUCACCUGUGUUAAUUACUCUGUGUAUUUAGUUCCUCUGCUUCCCCUGUCUCUUGUCAGAUCAUUGUCUACCCCACCUGCAUGUAUUCUCGUGGUUCCUUGUUCCAGUGUGUUCAGUAUUCUUGUUCAGUAAGUUUUGGUUUAUUAAAUUCUUUAUUUUUGUAUCUGCAUCUUGGGUCCUCCUCCUUCAUUUUACCUCAACGUGACAGAAUGAUCUGACCCUUAUCAUGGACCCAGCAGACAAUUUUUAUUUAUCUAAAAAAAUGUGUUACUUUCAGACCUUUUUUUGGAUUCCUCUUUUUUUCCCCUUGGCUGGGGACUCAGUUAGCCUUUUCUCCUGGCAACUGUGGUGGCCACAGGCGGAGACAUGGGAGACAGGACCCCCCAAGUCAUCUCUGGCCCCUUUCUCGCUCUGAGGUCCUGCCGGAGCCCCUUCUUUGCUUGGAGAUCUUGCCAAUGCCCCUUCCUCGCUAAGAGGUCCUGCCAUUUUACCUCAAUGUGACACAUUUCCUUGCUUUGAAGAACAGAAGUGGCCUACAGAAACCAUCACCGGACAUCACUGCAGUCUGCAGAUGCUUUCAGCAUCUUCUAAAUAAGGAUGAGGGUCAGGCUCUACAGGGAAGAGGGAUAACAGCAGCACUUGUCACUCAGGUUCUUUCUGAGCGUGCAGACAAGAAUCUCUUCCCACAGCUGCACAGCCACAUGUUUGACUUCUGUGUUGAAGCCAACCAUGUCCAAGUUCUGGUAAGGAUGUCUUCUGCAUGGUACUGCAAAAUUUGAUUAAACCACAUAACAAAGUCAUAGACUGAGAUAAAAGAAGUUAAGGUGGUCCGCAGAAAGCUCACACAAAUAUUGCAUUUUUAUGGAGAUUAAAAA